rnacentral:rRNA from 1 species
GGGCCCGCACAAGCAGUGGAGUAUGUGGUUUAAUUCGAAGCAACGCGAAGAACCUUACCAGGUCUUGACAUCCAACUAACGAAGCAGAGAUGCAUUAGGUGCCCUUCGGGGAAAGUUGAGACAGGUGGUGCAUGGUUGUCGUCAGCUCGUGUCGUGAGAUGUUGGGUUAAGUCCCGCAACGAGCGCAACCCUUACCAUUAGUUGCUACGCAAGAGCACUCUAAUGGGACUGCCGUUGACAAAACGGAGGAAGGUGGGGAUGACGUCAAAUCAUCAUGCCCCUUAUGACCUGGGCUACACACGUACUACAAUGGCUAUUAACAGAGGGAAGCAAUACAGUGAUGUGGAGCAAAACCCUAAAAAUAGUCUCAGUUCAGAUUGUAGGCUGCAACUCGCCUACAUGAAGUCGGAAUUGCUAGUAAUCGCAGAUCAGCAUGCUGCGGUGAAUACGUUCCCGGGCCUU